UACGAGGGGGGCAAGUGUUGUUCGGAAUUACUGGGCGUAAAGGGAGCGUAGGCGGGCUCUUAAGUUGGAUGUUUAAAACCGGGGCCUAACCCCGGCGUGGCAUCCAAAACUGGGAGUCUUGAAUGGGACAGAGGCCAGUGGAAUUAGAGGUGUAGCGGUGGAAUGCGUAGAUAUCUCUAAGAACACCAGUUGCGAAGACGGCUGGCUGGGUCCACAUUGACGCUGAGGCUCGAAAGCGUGGGGAGCAAACAGG
rnacentral:rRNA from 1 species